rnacentral:sRNA from 1 species
UUUGGCGACGUCCACCUGCUGGAUUUGGGCAUACAGUUUGCCGACCACUUCGGCGAUCGACGGAUGCCAAGAGACGGCGCGAUUGACCGCCUGAGAAAGUGUAAGUUCGCCGGGGGCGGCGCUGUCGCCGGUUAGCGGCAUUGGUCCAUUCAGCGAGGGCAGCUCCUGCUGCUCAACCCACUGCUGCGGGGCGAUGCGGGGUGACUCUUCGGCGGCAAUGGCCGGAAACGCGCACAGGUUUCCAGCCAGCCACCAACAGGUCAGCUGUCGUUUUCCCAUUUUUUACUUCCCUAAGCUGGCUUCUUUUCGCCCCGGGCGAACGUGCGCCCGGGGUCGUUGU